UCUCUCUUUCUAGAAAAUAUGUAAACACAUAUCUCCAAAGAAAUGAGAGAAUUUGUGAUCCCGUAUCUCCAUCAGAUCCAAAAAAGGGUCAUAAGGUUCUUGUAUUUGUCUAUCAUUCUUCUUUAGUAAAUGAAAGACUAUUUGUCUAACUGAAGAUCGGCUGAAUCUUUUCCUUUAUUCAUAUUUUUGUUGCUUAAUACAUCUUUCUUUAUGCUAUUAAAUCUGGCCAUAAUCGCUGCCUAUAUUUAUACUCGGCUAUAUUUUUCUAUUCAUAUUAUUCAUUUCGGAUCUAGAGUUAAUUAUGCUUAACUAGGAUUUACCCCUUCUUCAUUGAUUGAAUAUUUUAAAAAGAAUUAAAAAUCCUUUGAGUCAAACAAUUUAGCGUCGUCUGUAGGAAUUUUCUAGUUAAAAUUUUAAUUUCCUUUAGAUCUAGAAUUCAAUUCCUACUAUGAAUCAUCUUAAGAGAAGCCAAGCGAAUUUGAUACAUACGCGAACAUAGAGGCGGUGUAUGAGUGCUUGUUUGUGAACGACAACCCAAAUUUUACAGUACGAUUGCUACAGUAAAGAAGGAAUUUUACUGUUGUUGGCGUCUAGGUCCAAUAAAUAUGUUUGAUUAUAACUUGGUCAAAUGCAUAGAAUGUAG
rnacentral:lncRNA from 1 species